UCCGGUUUGUCACCGGCAGUCUCGCAUGAGUCCCCAACUAAAUGCUGGCAACAUGCGACGGGGGUUGCGCUCGUUGCGGGACUUAACCCAACAUCUCACGACACGAGCUGACGACAGCCAUGCACCACCUGUGAUCCUGCCCCGAAGGGAGCCCAUGUUUCCACGGGGGUCAGGAACAUGUCAAGCCCAGGUAAGGUUCUUCGCGUUGCGUCGAAUUAAUCCACAUCAUCCACCGCUUGUGCGGGUCCCCGUCAAUUCCUUUGAGUUUUAGCCUUGCGGCCGUACUCCCCAGGCGGGGUACUUAAUGCGUUAGCGUCGGCACGGGAGGAGUCGACACCUCCCACACCUAGUACCCAUCGUUUACGGCGUGGACUAC
rnacentral:misc_RNA from 1 species